rnacentral:tRNA from 1 species
UGGGGUAUAGCCAAGCGGUAAGGCAAGUGACUUUGACUCCCUAAUGCGUUGGUUCGAAUCCAGCUAACCCAG